GAUGAACGCUAGCUACAGGCUUAACACAUGCAAGUCGAGGGGAAACGAUGAGAGAGCUUGCUCUCUUAGGCGUCGACCGGCGCACGGGUGAGUAACGCGUAUCCAACCUACCCAUUACAGGGGGAUAACCUUGCGAAAGUAAGACUAAUACCCCAUGGCAUUUUAUGGUGGCAUCAUUAUAGGAUUAAAGAUUUAUUGGUAAUGGAUGGGGAUGCGUCUGAUUAGCUUGUUGGCGGGGUAACGGCCCACCAAGGCAACGAUCAGUAGGGGUUCUGAGAGGAAGGUCCCCCACAUUGGAACGGAGACACGGUCCAAACUCCUACGGGAGGCAGCAGUGAGGAAUAUUGGUCAAUGGGCGAGAGCUUGAACCAGCCAAGUAGCGUGCAGGAUGACGGCCCUAUGGGUUGUAAACUGCUUUUAUAGGGGAAUAAAGUGAGCUACGUGUAGUUUAUUGCAUGUACCCUAUGAAUAAGGACCGGCUAAUUCCGUG
rnacentral:rRNA from 1 species